GACCUCCGGCACGUGUGAACAGGUUACACGUGAUGCAGUGUGGUAGUGGAAUAUGCUGCAUCACGUUUGAUCUCCCUACACUGCACUGAGUC